GGCCGACUAGCUCAGUUGGUUAGAGCGUCGUGCUAAUAUCGCUGGUUCUGAUCUUCCGGUGCAUCGUUGGAUCAGAACCGGUGCUUCCCACGCGAAGGUCUUGGGUUCGAUCCCCACGUUGGCCA